UGCCGCAUUACAGGAGGAGAGACCUGUUAGCGCAUUCCUCCCCUCUCAGUCUCCCACGCCUCCUCGGGGCAUAUUGAUAGUAGGCUACUCGAGUGCGGUAGAAUACCGUCGGCAGUGGAAGGCACAUUUUUCUUCACGGCCUGGGGGAUACCUCAAUAGACUGAGGCUGCAGCAUUGAAUAGCCUAUAACCGAAUGCAGUGCCUGUGCAUCACCACCAGAGGACUCUCGUGCGUUCUAAGUGUUUGUGCAAUUGACUUUAUUGAGCCGCAGUUUCCUUUUCUUCUUAUCCUACUCCACACCUCAAAAGUGCGCGUCUUCCCAUUUUCUGUCCGCUGACCUGAAAACCUGCAUCGGGGCGCAAGAGAAACUCAGCAGACAAAGACAGUAUAUCCACACUGCAGUCAUGUCAACUGAAGGAUCGAUUUUACAUGAUCAAAGUGACUUCGAAUAUGAUUAUGAGACACUUCGAACUACAGGGGUCAUCAUUGGUGUGAUCUUGUUUGUGUCGGGUAUCCUAAUAGCUCUUAGUAAAAAACUCACAUGCUCAAAAUCGUCUUCCAAGUAAGAGUUUGUACAUGGCUUGGCAGUUGCUCCGCCUGUGCAUGUGGAAUGCAUCAGACUUUGGAAGAGGAGUCCCCACCAAAUACAGGAUGGCUUUACUAAUACUAUUUUACUGUUACCGUGUCUGUCCUUUCCCCCUCUCUCCCUUCCACAGUGGAGCCCAUGUCUGAAUGCUGCCUAUUGGUUAAGAUAUUACAGUCCCGCCCUCCCUCUCUAAAUCCAACAAUACUGCCCACCCAGUCAACUAAUUAAGCAGUCACCCUUAUACAGAGCAUCAUAUUACUGUCAAAUAUCUCAAGAUAGUCUAGUAGUCUAACUCUGAAAAUCAAGUGUUCUUGUCAAACAAGCAAUAUUAAGGAAAUGUCCUGCAUUAGGGCUUUUUGGGGCCCCUGGUUGAGAAAGGGGGCUGUUGUUGCAUGGGUUGGCAGUGUGGAUGGAUGUCCUCAAAGAGUGUAUGUUUACAGCCAAUGGCAUGCUGACCCAGUCUCUCCCUCUCGCCUACCCUUUGAGAGAGGACACUGAUUGGGAAGAUCCUGACAGAUCACUGCAUUUUGCCCCAAAUUGAAUCCUAUGAUUGUCAAAGCUUUGUGGCCCCAGCCCCUUCUGUGCAUGGAUACAGUUGACCUAAUCCAUCUAAAAUACCUUCUCUUUGGUCAGAACACACAUGAUCUUGGUUACAUUGUGGUUGUUUCCACAAAGCUUUGAGGAGAACUGAACUGUCGGAACUAUCCAGGAUUGCUUCCUUUAAUUCCCUUUCUCUCCUUGUGUCAGAGUGAAUAACUGUUCUCUUGUCUUCUCGUCUUCAGCUCUAAUACAGCAGGCACCCAAAUACCAAAGACAGAUGUGCCACCUCCAACAGUAUAGGCGAAGUGUACAUGGAGGCGAGGGAGAGUCAUCAUGGGAGGUGCCGCUGAGAGGCCAACACACACACUCACUUGUUUAUGGCUGACACACACCAGCGCCCAUUGGAACAUCAAGUAAUGGUGCACACCCAGCCCAAGCUGACCAGAAGAAUGACGGAAUUGUCAUUCUUGAUUUAAAUUAAAUGUAUAUCAAGCCAAGAUGAAGAUUUGACUCUUAAACGUCUUUGUUACUUGUGUAUUAGGUGCUAUCAAUCUACCUUGCCCAGCAAAAAAACAUACCUGGCACAAGAUCAGCUUUCAGGUGCGCUGUAAAUGUAUACCAUGAUGUGGGUAGUGUUGAAACAGAACUGAAUGCUGUGCUCUCUCUGUUCCUUGCUUUUGACUUCAUGCACACACAAGACAGUUGAUUGCAUGUCUCGUUUUACUGUAUAGUACUCUCAAUGCACUUUAGAAAUCUACAACUUUAUUAUCCAGUUGUGUGAGAGGUCUUUAACGUUUAGGAUUUCACAUUGGACCUGUAUUAACAACCUCAAGCAUGAAUUAAGAUAUCAAACCAACCCCAUUAUCCCACUGUUUUACUGAAGGUUGGCUCAGGAUCUAUCUGCUGUCAUUUUUGAUGUGGAUAAUGGGUGGAUUGUCGUGGGUGGUUGUGUUCUAGGUAGCAAUGAGAAGAAUGUCAACCCCAUGUCUAAUGUUAAUUUUACAGCAAUUUGAAACAGAAGCAGGAAUGAAGUCUCCUGUCAUUCUUUGGGGUCUGUAAGAGGGUGCCACCAGUAUAGUAUUGUAUGUCAAUGGCCUUUUUCUUUCUCCUAAUGCAUUCUAAGUUACAUUGCACGAGUAGAAUCAUUCAAAGCACUAAAAAGGUAUUACCUUGGGUUGAAGGAACGGGCAUUUUAAAAGUGUUUGAGUUUAAGCUUAAUGAAAAGGUCAAUACAUUAAGAUAAGAAGGCACAGCAACUACCUGCAAAUAAACGGUCUGUAUUAUCAUUAUUUAGUGCUGUUUCUAACUUGCUGAAAGUACAAUGUCUGUUAUCUUCAGCUCUUUUUAUUUACCGGUAUGUAGCACUAGUAAUCCCUGAUACUGAGCCAAUGGCGUAACAGUUAACCAAAAGCAAAUGAGUGAUUCUCACCAGAGCUAACUAAUAAGACUGCUGCAAUAAAAAUUACCCUGUAUACAAUGGUC